rnacentral:rRNA from 1 species
UACAGAGGUGGCAAGCGUUGUUCGGAAUUACUGGGCGUAAAGGGCUCGUAGGCGGCCAACUAAGUCGGAUGUGAAAUCCCCAAGCUUAACUUGGGAACUGCAUCCGAUACUGGAUGGCUUGAAUCCGGGAGAGGGAUGCAGAAUUCCAGGUGUAGCGGUGAAAUGCGUAGAUAUCUGGAGGAAUACCGGUGGCGAAGGCGGCAUCCUGGACCGGCACUGACGCUGAGGAGCGAAAGCUAGGGGAGCAAACGGG